GCAGGAAUAGCUUAAUGGCAGAGCACGUGCUUAGCAUGCACAAGGUUCUGGGUUUGAUCCCCAGUACCUCCA
rnacentral:tRNA from 1 species